UACGUAGGGGGCAAGCGUUGUCCGGAUUUAUUGGGCGUAAAGCGCUCGCAGGUGGUUCGUUGCGUCGUGCGUGAAAGACCCCGGCUCAACUGGGGAGUGUCGUGCGAUACGGGCGAACUGGAGGCCAGUAGGGGGGAUGCGGAAUUCCGGGGUGUAGUGGUGGAAUGCGUAGAGAUCCGGAGGAACACCAGCGGCGAAGGCGGCAUCCUGGACUGGUCCUGACACUCAGGAGCGAAAGGCGUGGGGAGCGAGUCCGGG
rnacentral:rRNA from 1 species